CAAAGUGGCAAAAGCACGUUGAUUGCACCAGUCUUCAAUGGAUCACUAAAGUUGAGCAAUGGUGGGCGUGGUUGGUAUCAGGCUGAGUGACCAUCUGAAAUAUCGCGUGCUGGUUUUU
rnacentral:rRNA from 1 species